GAUGAAGGAGGGAGGCGUGCCUAAUACAUGCAAGUCGAGCGAACAGACGAGGAGCUUGCUCCUCUGACGUUAGCGGCGGACGGGUGAGUAACACGUGGAUAACCUACCUAUAAGACUGGGAUAACUUCGGGAAACCGGAGCUAAUACCGGAUAAUAUAUUGAACCGCAUGGUUCAAUAGUGAAAGACGGUUUUGCUGUCACUUAUAGAUGGAUCCGCGCCGCAUUAGCUAGUUGGUAAGGUAACGGCUUACCAAGGCAACGAUGCGUAGCCGACCUGAGAGGGUGAUCGGCCACACUGGAACUGAGACACGGUCCAGACUCCUACGGGAGGCAGCAGUAGGGAAUCUUCCGCAAUGGGCGAAAGCCUGACGGAGCAACGCCGCGUGAGUGAUGAAGGUCUUCGGAUCGUAAAACUCUGUUAUUAGGGAAGAACAAAUGUGUAAGUAACUAUGCACGUCUUGACGGUACCUAAUCAGAAAGCCACGGCUAACUACGUG
rnacentral:rRNA from 1 species